AGUGAACGCUGGCGGUAGGCCUAACACAUGCAAGUCGAACGGCAGCACAGUAAGAGCUUGCUCUUACGGGUGGCGAGUGGCGGACGGGUGAGGAAUACAUCGGAAGCUACUUUUUCGUGGGUGAUAACGGAGGGAAACUUACGCUAAUACCGUAUACGACCCACGGGUGAAAGCAGGGGAUCUUCGGACCUUGCGCGAUUGAAUGAGCCGAUGUCGGAUUAGCUAGUUGGCGGGGUAAAGGCCCACCAAGGCGACGAUCCGUAGCUGGUCUGAGAGGAUGAUCAGCCACACUGGAACUGAGACACGGUCCAGACUCCUACGGGAGGCAGCAGUGGGGAAUAUUGGACAAUGGGCGCAAGCCUGAUCCAGCCAUACCGCGUGGGUGAAGAAGGCCUUCGGGUUGUAAAGCCCUUUUGUUGGGAAAGAAGAGCAGCAGGUUAAUACCCCGCUGUUAUGACGGUACCCAAAGAAUAAGCACCGGCUAACUUCGUG
rnacentral:rRNA from 1 species